CCUGGUUGAUCCUGCCAGUAGUCAUAUGCUUGUCUCAAAGAUUAAGCCAUGCAUGUCUAAGUAUAAGCACUUGUACUGUGAAACUGCGAAUGGCUCAUUAAAUCAGUUAUCGUUUAUUUGAUUGUACUUUUACUACAUGGAUACCUGUGGUAAUUCUAGAGCUAAUACAUGCGAAAAAUCCUCACUUCUGGAAGGGAUGUAUUUAUUAGAUUAAAAACCAAUGCGAAUCUUCGGGUUCGUUUUCUUGGUGAUUCAUGAUAACUUUUCGAAUCGCAUGGCCUCGCGCCGGCGAUAUUUCAUUCAAAUUUCUGCCCUAUCAACUGUCGAUGGUAAGGUAGUGGCUUACCAUGGUUAUAACGGGUGACGGAGAAUUAGGGUUCGAUUCCGGAGAGGGAGCCUGAGAAACGGCUACCACAUCUAAGGAAGGCAGCAGGCUCGAAAAUUACCCAAUCCCGACUCGGGGAGGUAGUGACAAGAAAUAACGAUACGGGGUCUUAAUAGGUCUCGCAAUUGGAAUGAGUACAAUUUAAAUCCUUUAACGAGGAUCAAUUGGAGGGCAAGUCUGGUGCCAGCAGCCGCGGUAAUUCCAGCUCCAAUAGCGUAUAUUAAAGUUGUUGCAGUUAAAAAGCUCGUAGUUGGAUUUCGGAGUGGGCCAGUUGGUCCGCCGCAAGGUGUGUUACUGACUGGUUUGCUCUUCUUCGCAUAGACUGCGUGUGCUCUUUAUUGAGUGUGCGUAGGACAUGCGACGUUUACUUUGAAAAAAUUAGAGUGUUCAAAGCAGGCUAUUGCUUGAAUACAUGAGCAUGGAAUAAUGGAAUAGGACUUUGGUCCCAUUUUGUUGGUUUCUAGGACCGAAGUAAUGAUUAAGAGGGACAAUUGGGGGCAUCCGUAUUUCGUUGUCAGAGGUGAAAUUCUUGGAUUUACGAAAGACGAACAACUGCGAAAGCACUUGCCAAGAGUGUUUUCAUUAAUCAAGAACGAAAGUUAGAGGAUCGAAGACGAUCAGAUACCGUCCUAGUUCUAACCAUAAACGAUGUCGACUAGGGAUCAGCGGGCGUUAUCGUACGACCCCGUUGGCACCUUACGGGAAACCAAAGUUUCUGGAUUCCGGGGGAAGUAUAGUCGCAAGUCCGAAACUUAAAGGAAUUGACGGAAGGGCACCACCAGGAGUGGAGCCUGUGGCUCAAUUUGACUCAACACGGGGAAACUUACCAGGUCCAGACAUAGUAAGG
rnacentral:rRNA from 1 species